UGUGGUCGCCGGACUUCAGCACUGCUUCAAGCUCAAGAUGCUGAUGAACAUUUUGCAGGUGACGAACCGCGGGACGGGCGCGUCGAUCACGGCGAGGAUCGUGGACCAGUGCAGCAACGGCGGGCUGGACCUGGACUUCGAGACGGUGUUCAAGAAGAUCGACACCAACGGGCUGGGCUACCAGAUGGGACACCUCAACGUCGACUACCAGUUCGUCGGCUGCUGAGUCAGAGAGAGAGAGAGUGGGGGGGGGGGCAUCGACAGUGUAGUCAGGCAGGGUAUCGGACGUUUGGUGUUGUGGAGUAAUGAGAUGGAUAGCAGAAGCUUUGCGUCUUUAGUUUGCAGGCAUGUGUGUGCAAAAUACUAAAUAAAUGGAACCAAAACAGAAAUAAGUUGCAUGUCAAUGUUUUCUCGCGUGUUAAAUUGUUAGUUCUGAUCCUUUUGCUUUCCAACAUACGAGAUAAAUCAUGUUCAUCUUUAAUAUAUUUUUUAUGCUGCCGGUUCAAUUUAAUUGUCUGUUGAUAUGCGAAAUGUGGCAUCAAAAUAUCCAAGAAGUUUUUGGCUUUUACACGGCAUACAAACUUCACUUUCAGACCUCAUCUUCAUGCUCAAGCGGCGAACCAGACAGUUUCCCUUCUCAAACUGGCAUCGUCUGCGAUGAUGUUUGAACACGCAUCGCAGUCCGAUAACCGCAGGAUGGGUCACUGGUUUUGACUAGAUUCUGCAAUAGAAAAAGUCAUUCCAUAGUAGAUUGGAAGAAUUAAUCCAGAUCACCAUGAAUCAUGAAUGAUCAGAUCAAUCUUGAACUAACUGUCAAUCUAGAAAUGUGUGGCCGUACGUUUCAGAUACUCUUUUACUACGUUCUCUAUAAUUUUAUAGAUAGUCUUGCACCAUAAUCAAGAAUAGGGAAAUCUGUUCGUGGCAUACUGUGAAAGUGUGAUUUUGUGUGAUGCACACUGUUGCUUCUAUCCAUGAAUAUUUCACUGCUGCAAGUAGGAUUAUCAUAGUCUCUAUCCAGGGUUUGAGUUUCCAUCUGUUGAUGUUACCAUAUGGGUUGUUUGGGAGAAAAUAGUCCAUUUUUUUACUAAGUCGUUAAAUUUCUAUAUUAACGAAAUCUGCAUCCACCCCUUACUAUUAAUCAACAUGUCAUCUGUCACUGAAACAAUAACACCAUUUAUUUAUAGGAUAAAUUCCUCGUGGCUUAUUGGGAAAAUAAAUCUAUCUAGUCAAAGUCAAGUACGUAUACUUCAUGUAUCCGUAUACUUUAUGUAUCCAUGAUCAGUUCUAAACCUAGUCUCAAUGGAAGUUCCAUAGAGAGUUUUAUGAGCAUUAAAUUUCAUGCCACAUCAGCAACUUGGCUAACUUGGCAAGAUCAUUCAAAUGAGAGGACGGGGAAUUUCAUCAGAUGAGAGAGGAGUUUCAUCCCCAUGACAGUCAGUUGACGCGGUUACCUAGUUCCCGAUCUUAGUAACUGUGCAAUAAAACUGUACACCGAUCAAGUUUUAACUCUUUUUUUUUAUCCAAUAUCGUGUUUUAACUUUCAAGUAGGGCUCCGCCUCCACGAUCUCCACUCUACUUCCAAAGGAUAUGUUAAGUAAUCCUUGCAAGUACCUUUUGGUAACUUUCGAAGCGCAGUAAGAAAACCUCACUUCAUGGCCAACCAAUGCAACCAUCGAUCAAUGCACAGAAGAGAGUAGUGCACGUGGUUGCUGCAGCGGCGGCCGCCGUCAAUCAUAUCUUCUGCUCUCUCUCCUAGCAAGCUAGGCAGCCAAGAUAGGUCAAGAUCUGCGUGCCACCAGCUAGUGUGGCUGCUUAGCUUCUUCCUCCCAUGUCCAUGUUAACGAGUGCGCCGGCCACCAAAGACUUUUGCUCCUCUUCGGUCUGGAGUCCAGAGUCCAGACGGUACAGUGCUGCUGGAAUUCCAUGCCAUGGCGGGCUGGUGGCGCACGCACCUCGGAGGCCGACGGCGACGACGCUUGCGCUUCCACACACCUGGCGCUCGCUCUGGCCACGUGCAUGCAUCAUGUGUGUGUGUGUGUAGCUCGCUCUCGAUCGCUUUCCGUUGCCAUCCGACGCACGCAAGAAGAUGCAGUGCGCGGCGGCGAGUUGGCAGCUCCCGCUUGACCGAUCUCGAGCCGCCGCACGGGCCGGUCAACUUGGAAAGGGACAUGGCCACAUGGGAUCGAGAACACUGGAGGAUAAUAUAAACUAGCUAGAGGACACGGCCGGUGAGACUAGUUCCGCCAACACCGGCGGCGAGCUGUGAGGACAAUGUGAAUUGUGGUAGGCAAUCACCGGCCGGGGGUAGAAUGAAACCCUAGCAUCACUUUUCUUCUGUCCUUGCAAGAAAAUUCAACAUUGUCCGGCACCCGGGCCUCUAUAUAAGCUGGCAGCCUCAGCUGCAAUCCACUCCACGGAACACAACACCUCACAGGCAUCGUUCGUGCCAACCACUGCAUUCUACAUCGACUUGGCAUCUGCCAAAACUAGGAGCUCACAAGGUCGGCAUCCUACUCUGUUCAAUUCUUUCCUCGCCAGAAACACAGAUGCUAAAUUGCUUCUUGAUGUACAAAUUUGUUGUGAAUUCAGGACCCAGCAGCUAUGGCGGCGAUCACGGGUGGACGGGCGCUCGCGGUGGCGGCGCUCCUCUGCGCCAUGGCGGCGAUGGCCGCUGCGCAGUCGGCAUCCAACGUGCGCGCGACGUACCACCUGUACAACCCGGCGCAGAACGGCUGGGACCUGAACCGCGUCAGCGCCUACUGCGCCACGUGGGACGCCAACAAGCCGCUGUCGUGGCGCCAGAAGUACGGCUGGACCGCCUUCUGCGGGCCCUCGGGCCCUAGGGGCCAGGCCUCCUGCGGCAAGUGCAUCAAGGUACUCCUUUGUUAGCUAUUUCAAUAUUCGAAUGAAACUAAUGAUUUUUUUUAAUCAGCAAUUGGUCUCUUGUUAGGCAAAUUUGACCCACAAGAUUACAACACAAUUGGCACCACUUCUAGAACAAAAUUAAUGGUCAAACCGUACCUAAUUGUUAUUUGAAAUGAUGUAAAAUUGUGCAAUCCACUCAUAUAUAUGCUUGGAUGUUGAUCGAAUUUGAUUAAAAUUGCACGUAGGUGACGAACCGUGCUACGGGCGCGUCGACCGUGGCGAGGAUCGUGGACCAGUGCAGCAACGGCGGGCUGGACCUGGACUUCGAGACGGUGUUCAAGAAGAUCGACACCAACGGGCAGGGCUACCAGAUGGGGCACCUCAACGUCGACUACCAGUUCGUCGCCUGCUGAGGAAGCUCCCGCACGUACGGACGGAUGAAAAUAUGAAAUAAGCGUCGCUUAGAUGCGUGGCAUGAUGGAAUAAGAUUAAAUGUAACAAAAAAAAAGACCCGG
rnacentral:lncRNA from 1 species